rnacentral:rRNA from 1 species
UACGAAGGGGGCUAGCGUUGUUCGGAAUUACUGGGCGUAAAGCGCACGUAGGCGGGUAUUUAAGUCAGGGGUGAAAUCCCAGAGCUCAACUCUGGAACUGCCUUUGAUACUGGGUACCUAGAGUAUGGAAGAGGUGAGUGGAAUUCCGGAGUGUAGAGGUGAAAUUCGUAGAUAUUCGGCGGAACACCAGUGGCGAAGGCGACUCACUGGCCCGAUACUGACGCGAGGCGCGAAUGACGUGGGGCGGC